rnacentral:rRNA from 1 species
CCUACGGGAGGCAGCAGUGGGGAAUAUUGGGCAAUGGGCGCAAGCCUGACCCAGCAACGCCGCGUGAAGGAAGAAGGCUUUCGGGUUGUAAACUUCUUUUCUCAGGGACGAAGAAAGUGACGGUACCUCAGGAAUAAGCCACGGCUAACUACGUGCCAGCAGCCGCGGUAAUACGUAGGUGGCAAGCGUUAUCCGGAUUUAUUGGGUGUAAAGGGCGUGUAGGCGGGAGCGCAAGUCAGAUGUGAAAACUCAGGGCUCAACCCAGAGCCUGCAUUUGAAACUGUGUUUCUUGAGUGCUGGAGAGGCAGGCGGAAUUCCGUGUGUAGCGGUGAAAUGCGUAGAUAUACGGAGGAACACCAGUGGCGAAGGCGGAUUGCUGGACAGUAACUGACGCUGAGGCGCGAAAGCGUGGGGAGCAAACAGGAUUAGAUACCCCUGUAGUC